rnacentral:rRNA from 1 species
CCUACGGGAGGCUGCAGUGAGGAAUAUUGGUCAAUGGCCGUAAGGCUGAACCAGCCAAGUCGCGUGAAGGAAGAAGGAUCUAUGGUUUGUAAACUUCUUUUAUAGGGGAAUAAAGGUAUCCACGUGUGGAUAUUUGCAUGUACCCUAUGAAUAAGCAUCGGCUAACUCCGUGCCAGCAGCCGCGGUAAUACGGAGGAUGCGAGCGUUAUCCGGAUUUAUUGGGUUUAAAGGGUGCGUAGGUUGUUUUUUAAGUCAGCGGUGAAAGUUUGUGGCUCAACCAUAAAAUUGCCGUUGAUACUGGAAGACGUGAGUGUGUUUGAGGUAGGCGGAAUGCGUGGUGUAGCGGUGAAAUGCAUAGAUAUCACGCAGAACUCCGAUUGCGAAGGCAGCUUACUAAGCCAUAACUGACACUGAAGCACGAAAGCGUGGGGAUCAAACAGGAUUAGAUACCCCUGUAGUC